rnacentral:rRNA from 1 species
AACAUUGCACAAUGGGGGAAACCCUGAUGCAGCGACGCCGCGUGAGCGAAGAAGGCCUUCGGGUCGUACAGCUCUGUCCUACGGGAAGAAACGGACGGUACCCAAGAAGAAAGCCCCGGCUACCUACGUGCCAGCAGCCGCGGUAAUACGUAGGGGGCAAGCGUUGUCCGGAAUUAUUGGGCGUAAAGGGUGCGUAGGCGGCCUUUUAAGUCAGAUGUGAAAGCCCACGGCUUAACCGUGGGAUUGCAUUUGAAACUGGAAGGCUUGAGUAUCGGAGAGGGUAGUGGAAUUCCCAGUGUAGCGGUGAAAUGCGUAGAUAUUGGGAGGAACACCAGUGGCGAAGGCGACUACCUGGACGAAAACUGACGCUGAGGCACGAAAGCCAGGGGAGCAAACA